GUCCUCACUCUGGCAGCACAUAUACUAAAAUUGGAACAGUAUGGAGCAGAUUAGCAUGGCCCCUGCACAAGGAUGACAUGCAAAUUUGUGACGCACUCCAUAUUUUU
ensembl:snRNA U6 U6 spliceosomal RNA